rnacentral:rRNA from 1 species
CCGGCACGGGUGAGUAACACGUAUCCAACCUGCCGUCUACUCUUGGACAGCCUUCUGAAAGGAAGAUUAAUACAAGAUGGCAUCAUGAGUUCACAUGUUCACACGAUUAAAGGUAUUCCGGUAGACGAUGGGGAUGCGUUCCAUUAGAUAGUAGGCGGGGUAACGGCCCACCUAGUCUUCGAUGGAUAGGGGUUCUGAGAGGAAGGUCCCCCACAUUGGAACUGAGACACGGUCCAA